CUUCCGUAGGUGAACCUGCGGAAGGAUCAUUAAUAGUGCCCUCUGAUGCAAAUCAUUGGGUUAGAUCUGCUCUCUUCGCAAGAAGAGGGUUUCCAUACACACCGUGAACUGUGGCUUCGGCCAUCACAAACUGUUAGUAAUGAAUGUAAUAUCAUAACAAAAACAAAACUUUUAACAACGGAUCUCUUGGCUCUCGCAUCGAUGAAGAACGCAGCGAAAUGCGAUAAGUAAUGUGAAUUGCAGAAUUCAGUGAAUCAUCGAAUCUUUGAACGCACCUUGCGCCCUUUGGUAUUCCGAAGGGCAUGCCUGUUUGAGUGUCAUGAAACCUCACCCCACUUGGGUUUUUGCCUGAGCGGUGGUGUAUUGGGUGUUGCCUUGCUAAAGGCUCGCCUUAAAGACAUAAGCACCUUGGAUGUAAUACGUUUCAUCCUUCUGGGUGGCUGAUAACCCCACAUAUUCAUGAUCUGGCCUCAAAUCAGGUAGGGCUACCCGCUGAACUUAAGCAUAUCAAUAAGCGGAGGAA
rnacentral:rRNA from 1 species